AGAGAAUGGCAUGAACCUGGGAGGCAGAGCUUGCAGUGAGCAGAGAUCGUGCCACUGCACUCCAGCCUGGGCGACAGAG
rnacentral:snRNA from 1 species